rnacentral:lncRNA from 1 species
AGAGGGAGACCAAGCCAAGCAGGGCAGACAGUCGCCCAGGGCAGCCAAACAUUUAGCAAUUGUCCAUUGUGUGUGCAGAGGGUGGGAAAAGGGAGGAGAAAGAAAUGUACUUGUCUCCUUGGGAAAACAAGGCAGUACGGCUGAGGCGGUGCAGCCACCUGCGGUGUGGAGGAACCAGCAACCAUGAACUCGGGAUUACAGACCAGAGUACCUAUAUACACAGAUAAGACACAGUAAAGGAACGAGUGCAGGGGUAGGUGACGGAGCUGCCUCUCCAUAAACCCUACGCACUGAUCAUAACCAGGAGACUGACAUGGCCGGGCCGGAACGCAGGGCUGGCAGCUCACGACUUUAAUAGCACAAUAAACUCUUCCCUGACAUCACGCGGACCCCUAGCCCCGACCCCCACAACGGGGCGCCCCUGUGCCUCGUUUCUCGCCCUUACCUGACAGCUACUCUCACGGAGCUCUCGUCCUGGGCGCCCCACAUGCUCCUGGGGCUCCGCCGCGCGGGGCCGGAGCCAGAUCAGGGCUACUUUCUACACCAGGGGCUUCCGCUGCCCUGUGGCAACGAGAGAGAGGGAGGGGGGCCUCACGGCUCAGAGCGGAGAAGGCAGGCGGGAGGAGGCGGAGGCCACAGGCGGGAGGCGGAGGCCACGGCUCACCUCCAGAGUGCUCCAGCCAUGUUGGGUGACUGAAUGGAAAGGUGGUGGCCACGAAGAAACGGGAGGAGGUGGGAAGUGAUUCACCGCCCCUCCUCUCCUCCCCCUGGAGGAUCUGAAGAUUCAAUGGAUCGCAGGCCGGUUCUCCACCUCCCUCGCCGCCCUCCGGACCCGCCCCGCGGCCCGCCCCCCUUCCUUCUCUGGCCUGCCUGCGGCCUCCCGGCAGGCUAGUGGUUCUGACUCCUGGUCCUUCAGGUUCCUCGCUCUGCAAUGCGUCAGGAACUGCGGCCGCCUCCGAUCCACCUUCCUUUCCCACGCCCUGUUCCGUGGGGCUCUCACUGAGGGAGAGGGGAAAACACACGCGCGCGCGCACACGCACACACGUACACACACGCAAUCUCGUCCCAGCCCUGCAUCAGUGGUGAAACUAGUCAGGUGGUAUCCCGUUCUGUCUGUUUUCAUCCUUAGCUUUAAGAGUGUUCUCCCCAGCUUGGACUUUAAACGACUCCCCCGCCCCCUUCUCAUUUCUCCAUCCUCAGCACGCUCAUGGCCAAAAACCCUGUCUGCCAGUACCAUCACCCCAAAUGCUCAUUUGCAGAAGUAGGCUUACCCAGCCGCCACAUGUUAGACUAGAGCCAGGUAGGUAUUGAAGAAAAAAUGCACUCUAGCAAACAAUUUUUACUGAUUUAACAUGUCAUUUUAGAGAGAUGAUUUUUGGGGAGUUUAAUUGGUAUGGCAUUGAAUAAGUAAUUUAAUUUUGGAAUUGUCGUUUUUAAAAAAUCAUAUUGGCUCAGCCUUGUUCAGUUGCUUAGAUUUGACUUUAUUUUUGUGAAAAGGGUUUUGUAGUUGGGAUCAUAUAGUUCCUGAGUUUGUCUUGGCAGGUAAAUUCCCAGGUAUUUUAUAUUGUCUACAGUUAUUUUAAAUGAGAAUUUUAAAUGAGCCUUCUCUUUCUAUCACCUGCUCUUGGGUUUAUGCUUAUGGUUUAUUGUGGGUUUAUUUUAUGCCCUGAAACUUUGCUAAAGUUGUUAAUUGUUUUGAUCAGUUUUUUUGGUUGAUUCUCUAGGAUUUGCUAGAUAUGCCAUCAUAUCAUCUGCAAAAAGUGACAACUUCAUUUCUUCAUUGCCUAUUCUAAUUCCUUCAGUUUCUUCUUUUCCUCUUACUGCUACUCCCAGCAUUUCCAAUACUAUGUUAAAUAAUAUUGGUGAUAAUGGGCAUCCUUGCUUCAUUCCUGAUCUUAUUGGGAAGGCAUCUAGCUUAACCCCAUUACAGAUAAUGUUUGCUGAUAAUUUUAGAUAAACGCUAUUUAUCAUUCUGAGGAAUUUUCCAUUUAUUCCAAUGUACUCUAGUGUUUUUUAAAUAGGAAUAAGUGUUGUAUUUUAUAAAAAACUUUUCCUGCAUCUGUUGAAAUAAUCACAUGGUUUCUGUUGAUUUUGUUAGUGAUACAGUCAGUUAUGUUGAUAGUUUUCCUAAUACUGAACCAUACAUCCCUGCAUUCCAGUUAUAAAACUUACCUGGUCGAUGUGUAUGUAUUCCUUAUGAUAUAUUGCUAUAAUCGUCUUGCUAGUAUUUAAUUUAAACUUUUUAAUGUUCAGAUUUUAACAAAUAAAGAAUAUGAGGUCAUUUCCCCA